GCCGAGAGUGCGGGCGACAGGAUGAGAACCGUCAAGGUUCGACGGAGGUGCGGAGCACCGAAGAACGUCGCGCUUGUCGCGGCGGCCCGAAGGGCGAGGGCGAAGCCCGAGUAAUCCUGGCGCCCCAGCCA
rnacentral:sRNA from 1 species